rnacentral:lncRNA from 10 species
GCACGGGUGUAGAAAAACACACAAGUGAUUUCAUUAGAGCAAACGAUGCCUUUCCAGGCUUUCAAUAUGACGGAGAUCAGAGUGACAAAUCGGCAUUUAGAAAAGAAGAUGGAUGGGGCAAGAAUGUUUUGAAAAUGAAAUUUACUCCUACAUGCUUAAAGGCGAUGGAGAAUGUAGUGUUUGCAAGACAGUGUUUAAUUACCAGAAAAAGGAAAGUAGAGUCGGUGAGGAAAAGUGUCCUUGCAACAACAAAUGCAUGCUGAAAAAAUAAUGAAUGCAUUGCAGCACAUUGUUAGCAGUCGUUAUUAUGAAGAAAAUGGUUUGCCUCUGUCUUUCGCAAAUAGAACGUACAACACGCUCUGGCCCAGCCACACUCAGUAUCAUCCCAUAGCGGAAAAGAAGGUGAAAAAUUCUGAAAAAAUAUUUGAGUGAGGAAUGCAAACUUUACAGAGGGUCUUUUGGUUGGACGUCAGUGGCACAUCCACAUGCAACACAGGGAAGUUGGAUGUGUACCCAGACAUGAGAAAUACAAGGAAACAAUGCCACAGGGGACUCCUCAGUUUGGUGAGGUGGGGCAAGAAUUCCCCUGCUCCUAACGGUGCAAACCCUAUAUUAAAAGUAGACAAGCCAAGUGAAACCUUUUCACUCAAAUCCGAUCUGACUGAAGACUUCUAAUUCUGCUCAGAACGUUCAAAGUUGCAAGAAAAUGUCUCUCUCAUCCUAAAAUUUAGAAUUUGGCUGGAUAAUGUAGAAAAUCACAAUGGCUCUUGAACCCAGGAGAUAACUGAGCUUGUGAGGCAACCACAGAGUCUGCAUCUGAGCUGUGAUGAACCUCUCUGAGGUGAAGGGUGCAUGAACCACCUUGUCUUUGGCAGAAUACAGGAGGAUCUGGUCACCACAGAGGCAGGUAAGAAGAAAUCAGCUAAAAUUUUAUUAAAUUCUCAUGGUCCAAAAUGGGCUAAUGUAUCAGUUUAAAAUAUCUGGGAGCCCUAGGCAGAAGUGCAAGCUCUUUUCCACUGGCCUCCACUAGGUGCUCAAGGGAAAUAUUAGGGCAGAAAAAAGACCAGGGUUGACGACUAGGUGUACAGGUGUGCAGAGAUAAUUAAUUGCUACUGGGGGACAGGGAGAAGCAUCAGACAACUCCGUGGAAAGCAAAAAUGAACAGUGUAAAAGGAAAAUAGCAUCUCGGGACCUCAAACUCACUGUGCCAAAGGGAAAAGUUAAGCUUGGGAACUGGAUCAUGCAACACUGCCUCCCAUUUUGUUCCUAAAUAGGUAGCUGCAAAUAUAGCAGCCCACAUACCUCUUCAGGGGGCCUCCUUUAUCAUUUGCUCACAGGAAAAUUCCUUGUGGGCUCCAAGAUCUUUACCCUAAAACAGAGUUUUGUUGAGUUUCACCCUGACAUCAAUCAAACGUUGAUUAUCUUCACAAGUACAGGACAAGACAAGCAAGAAAUCGUCUCUCCACUCACCUGAGACCAAUGCAUAUUUGACUGCUUCCUUUCCUCUGUGUUUAUCUUAUAUUAUGUAAAGAUGCAGACUUACUGAGCAUGAAGGGAAUGCAUGGCUGACUGUCCCUCUACAUGCUCUUUUCACACGUAAAAUGUGAAUUCAGUGAACAAUGAUUAAAGCCUCAAAACAAUGCACCCACCUGCGUCUUUUAUCUACCCUCCCCUUUUUUUCUUUCCUCUCCCCUGCUGUCUGCUCUUUCCUCUUUAAAUAUUGAGAUCCCUAAACUCUGUCAAAAGCAUAGAUCACAGAUGGUUCUGUGAUUCUGUGUUCCUUUUACUCAGGCACGUCCUCAGCCUUGGCAAAAUAAAGCUCGAAAUUGAUGGAGACUCACCUUAGUCAUUUUCUUUGGUUUUACAACAGAAAGGAAAAUGCUUAAGGAUCUUUCCUCAUUAAAAACAAAAGCAAGAUAUCAC